UUGACGGGGCCGCACAAGCGGUGGAGCAUGUGGUUAAUUCGACGCAACGCGAAGAACCUUACCAGGGCUUGACAUCCCCUGACCGCGUAUGAAAGUACGUUUUCACCCUCGGGUGACAGGGAGACAGGUGGUGCAUGGUUGUCGUCAGCUCGUGUCGUGAGAUGUUGGGUUAAGUCCCGCAACGAGCGCAACCCCUACGUUUAGUUGCUAACGCGUGAAGGCGAGCACUCUAGACGAACUGCCGUUGACAAAACGGAGGAAGGUGGGGAUGACGUCAAAUCAUCAUGCCCCUUAUGUUCUGGGCUACACACGUGCUACAAUGGCCGGUACAGACGGACGCAAAGCCGCGAGGUGGAGCAAAUCCGAAAAAGCCGGUCUCAGUUCGGAUUGCAGGCUGCAAUUCGCCUGCAUGAAGUCGGAAUCGCUAGUAAUCGCAGGUCAGCAUGCCGCGGUGAAUACGUUCCCGGGCCUU
rnacentral:rRNA from 1 species